AGGUGGAGGGUGAGAAGGCUAGCACUCCUUGCGCUGGCCUCCGUCACGUUUCUAUCGGCUGUGGGGAAUUGGGAAGAAGAGCUUUGAGCCACUCGCUCUGCCAGGUAAUGUGGCUACGACACGGCCCGCUGUAGCGCCGGGCCUGAAUCUUAAAUCUGAGGUUAAUUCUGAACGAUGCUCCGGCUUGCGGCCCCCUUCGCCUGACCCCGGCCGAACCACAGAGCCCUAUUCAGGCUUUGAGGGACUGAAGAGCUCAAGCGGCGCCCUUUGCCAAGUCCAUGCACACCACCGCUUCCGCCAGACACUCGGGUCUCUGAGGCACCUACUCUGAGAGCUCCAAAGAGAGGGUGAGGCCAGUUCUCCCCUUUCCCAAGAAGAGUCUGAGACUGAAACCUUGAUGCUGAGAACACCUUUCCCCUUUCUGAUGCAAGCAGCUUGCAGAUUGUUAAUGCCGGAGCCUGAGGCAAGAAUGUCACAGACCUUUCCCAGGUGUUUGUUAAGGUUCUCCCAACAGGACGAUAAACUCAUCUGGAAGGCAGAGGGCCUGCCCAUUCAUAAACCUGUUGAUGUGGUCCCCAGAGGGCUGCACCCGGUGUCCUCAUGGAUACUAGUUGGGUUCAUUAACCACUGAACCACGUUAACCCCUGAGCCACGAUGGAAAUUCCUAAACAAAACCAUUUAAGCAAACUCAACCCAGCUUAUUUGAUGAAUUACCAGUUUAAGAUGGCAAGACCAACACUGUUGAUUCUGGGGCCAGAACUGGGACAAGUCCUUGAUCCGUCUACACUAGCUGUAUACACCAUCUACCUCCUGAGAGGAUUCAUUUUUCUUCCUAUAUGCAGGUAUGAGACAGCGCAACCCUUCCAUCACCCAACCCUACAACUUGUGGAUUUAUUUGUAUGGAGCUCCAGCAUUGCCAGUGCCCCUCAUUGUCUGGAGUGCACACCUGCCUGACCUCAGUAGACCCUUCAGGAAGUAUUCUAAGGGCUCACUGCUUGCUCCUUUCAGAAAGGGUGCAAGAGGAGAAAGAAGAAAUAGCCUGGCCAUCUUCCUGAAAUUUUCCCCAAAUGCUCAAUUCCCCGGGACCAGAGAGGAACCCUGGAUACAAACUUGACAAUGCCAAUGGAAAUAAUCAAUAUCAACCUAUAAAGGAAUAGAAAAGUUUUAUUUGAACUAAACUGAGGACUAUAGGCCAGGAGCCAGCCUCUCAGCCCUGAGGAACUGUUCCAAAGAAGCAUGAUUUUCAGCAUAUUCUUACAUCUUAUCGGUCAAAGAACAUCAGACAUGACAGGGGUACAUUCCUUCAAAGUUUCAAGAAGGACAAGUCAGCACGUACCCAGUGAGUCCCUAAGGCCUUAGCACCAGAGGAGGGAGGCUUAUCAUUGAAGGAGCACUAGCAGUGACCUCCCAGGAAAAGAAGCAUUUAGCCUUUAUCUUUAAAGCCAACAUUCUUUACUUCUGGCCGAUGCACCCUCUUCUUUACUGAUUAAAGCAGAUUACGAUGGAAGUUUGGUAAGCCACAAAGAGGCUGUUCUAGUUAGCAUGUUCAAGUUCAAGUUAAAUAUUGUCUAAGCCAGAAUGAUGUCCUCAUACCUCAGUAUGUGAAAUUUUCUUCCAUCAACAAGAAGCCUGAGGACAAAAUUUUAAAAGGGAAAUUCUGCAAAAAUUUGGGAUGGGGGAAAUGAAAGAGGAGAAUGGCUCUAUAUUAUAGGUCCUGGAAGAGGGGAGCUGGCCCCACACCCCAAAAUGGGUUUGUCUGGGCAAAUGACAAGAUAGGGAGGCUCCCCUAAUGUCCCCUCACCUACCCAAGUGUGUUGGGGAACCCCCAGAGGCCAUGCAGAUGCCGACAACCGUAGCCACAUGUAACAUGACCAGAACCCAUGUUAUACCAUAGUUUGGCUUCAUCAUAAUCCUGAAAGCAUGGCAAAAAUUCUAGGUAUCAAGAGAGUCUCCAAAACCAUGGCCUGAUCCUCAAUGGAAAGAUUCCCGGGAGUGAGUUUAUUUUCUCUUUCUCUCUCUCUCUCUUUUUUUUUUUUUUUUUUUGCUUUUUAGAGCCACACCUGCAGCAUAUGGAAGUUCCCAGGCUAGGGGUUGAAUUGGAGCAACAGCUGCUGGCCUACAAUACACCACAUCCACAGCAAUGUGAGAUCCGAGCUAUGCCACAGCUUAUGGCAACUCCAGAUCCUUAACCAGUAAGCAAGGCCAGGGAUCAAACCUGUGUCCUCAUGUAUACUGGUCGGGUUCAUUGCUGCUGAACCAUGAUGGGAACUCCAGCUCAGCCUUUUCUUGAGUAAACUAUGCAUUUUGUUAACACUUUUCCCAGAGAUGCUAUUCUUGGCUCUUAUGUAGCCUUUCUUUUGUUCAUCUAAAGCCUUCUCUAGAACCUCCCUGUUGUUUCCAGGGGUUUUUUUGCCAACUGCCUAGAGAAAUGUCACUUAAUGCCUGACUUUUGCUCGUUCUGCCUGUGUGUCCUCCAUUAUUUCCACCAUCAGAAAGCAAAACCAACCCACUUCCCAGCUUCCCCAGCAGUCAGGGUGGCCAUGGGACCCCUUUCUGUCCCCAAGGGGAGGUGGAAGCCUGUGGAGUGGACAUGCCUUGUUUUUUCUUGUUCUGCCCUGUUUCUCCUGCCUCAGGGCACUCACAGAGCCUAGAAGUUACAUCUUGAAACCACAAGAAUGUAAGGUCACAC
rnacentral:lncRNA from 1 species